UCGGGAAUUUUGGGCAAUGGGGGAAACCCUGACCCAGCAACGCCGCGUGAAGGAUGAAGUAUUUCGGUAUGUAAACUUCGAAAGAAUAGGAAGAAUAAAUGACGGUACUAUUUAUAAGGUCCGGCUAACUUCGUGCCAGCAGCCGCGGUAAUACGAAGGGGGCUAGCGUUGUUCGGAUUUACUGGGCGUAAAGCGCGUGUAGGCGGGUCGUUAAGUUGGGGGUGAAAUCCCGAGGCUCAACCUCGGAACUGCCUUCAAAACUGGCGACCUGGACUCAAGCAGAGGCAAGUGGAAUUGCGAGUGUAGAGGUGAAAUUCGUAGAUAUUCGCAGGAACACCAGUGGCGAAGGCGACUUGCUGGGCUUGUAGUGACGCUGAGACGCGAAAGCGUGGGGAGCAAACAGGAUUAGAUACCCUUGUAGUCCCUGAGCGGGCUGGCAAGGCGCAU
rnacentral:rRNA from 1 species